CCCCAGACACUUAAUAAUGAUAAAAGCAAGACAUCUUUGGCAGCAGUAUAAAUUAUUCAUGGAUUUUAUUUAAAAAAAAAAAAGACAGGUUAAAAGAAAGAGAGAGAAAGAGAGAAGAAAGAAAGAAAGAGAGAGAAAGAGAGAAGAAAGAAAGAAAGAAAGAAAGAAAGAAAGAAAGAAAGAAAGAAAGAAAGAAAGAAAACCACAUCAAUUCCAGCAAUCUUUUCCAGAGGAAAAUUACUGCCCUGUUGUGAGUCAUGUAUGGCUCUAUACUCAUGGCCUGAGGAGCACAGCUACUGGGAUUUUUUUUUUUUUUCAAGCUCCCAGGUUUGCUCAGAUCCAUCAGCUGCUUCAAUGUGGAUACACAGAAUGAAUGCACAGCUCUCCGGAGAUGAGCUUCGUGGAUGGCCCAGCAAGACUUCCGAUCUUCUGAGGUUGGAUGAGGAAGGAGGACACGUGUGGAGCGCACAGUCUUCCUACCUUGAUCCCAGGAUGACUCGCUGAGAUGUGGUUAUAUACAAAGGCACUGCAGUGACCCUCUACCUAAAUCCUCAUCAGCGUGAAGGACAGCUUGAUCUCGGCCCGGGAGGCUCCGCAUUGUUCUUUCUGCUCAGAAGUUUCUGCACUCUGGAACUGAACACAGCAGACUGCGAAAAACCUGCGGUGGCUCCCUCUCCAAUAACUUCAGCUAUCUUUUUUAUGAGGACCCUCAUUUCAUGUCACAAACAUUUCUAUUCAAAAGCUAUGAUUACCAGACAGUGACGUUUAGUUUGAAUAAAUCUACCUGAAUUUUUGUCCACACAAAUAAAUGAUAUAAGUAGUCAGAGUUCUGCUGAGGAUUCUCAAAACAGCUCUGGACUCCGGAGGUAAAACUGCUUAGCUUAAAUACAAGAAGACUAUACAAUGAGACCCAGCUUGUCUUUCUUCUUUUUCAUUUUUGUUUGUUUCUUUGUUAUUUGUUUGUUGUUUGUUUGUUUGUUUCUCUUUCUUUGUGCGCACACAUGCCUGUGUGAAUAGGGGGGUUGUUUAUGAAAGACAAGAAGGGGGGAGAGAGAGAGGAAGAGGGGCAUUGGAGGUGGAAAGAGAGAGGCGGGCAGAAACAGAGCUAGGGAGAGGCAAGGUCCAUAGCAGACUGAAGUUCCCCGUGCCUCGGCCUUCCACAUGUCGGGACAGUGGGCACACUGUGAGCAGGGCUCCUUAGCUGGUACUGACAGUCAUUCCAAAAGAAGACCCUGAAAGGUCUGGAGCAGCAGCAGUACUGUUGAAAGAGUGUCUAACCUUCCAAAGCAACUUCUCUAAAAAGAUGACAUUAAUUUGAAUAUGUGGGUUUUACUUCCCUAAGAAAAACUGGCUAUUUUUAACCUUGCUUGAUUUUCACACACUAUAUCAUUGGUAGUUGGCUAAAGGAACUUGGCUCUUUUUCAGCCUAGUGUCGAAUCCAGUUUUAUGUAGUAACUCCAAUUUUGGACUGAACAGAAGUAGAAAACCUUCAAAUGAAUCCCGAAAACAUACAUGUGUAUGUACUAUCAAAACCAAGUCAUAGUCUUCACACAGAUAAUACAUAUGUACACAUGUUUGACUUAUGUAAAUCCAUAACUAAUGAUAACUAAUCACAAAUUAAACAUAAAUAUGCAUUGCAUAUGAACAAAAUGUUGAAAUAUGAACUCUACCCAGCAGAAUUCCCAUAGUGCUUUCGGGGGCUUAUUUCCAGUACUAAUUCUGUUGAGUGUGUCUAGGUGGGGUGAGAAGAGCUAAAGGUGCGAUCCACAAACAUGUUGCUGCUGACCUCUGACCUUUCAGUUUCCAGGUCCUUGGAUCGCUUUGGGAGAACUCAGACUAGGCACAGAUUGUGUCUGUGCUCUUUUCAAAAAAUUCUGAAAUAGAGGCCAGAGAGACAGUUCAGAAGUUGAGAGCAGAUGUUCUGGCAGAGGACCUGGGUUUGAUUCCCAGAACCCAUAUGGCAGUUCAUAACUUCCUAUAUUCCAGUUCCAGGAGAUGUGAUAUCUCCUCUGACCUCCUCGGGCACCGGGCA